rnacentral:rRNA from 1 species
GACGAACGCUGGCGGCGCGCCUAACACAUGCAAGUCGAACGAGCGAGAGGGAGCUUGCUUUCUCGAGCGAGUGGCGAACGGGUGAGUAACGCGUGAGGAACCUGCCUCAAAGAGGGGGACAACAGUUGGAAACGACUGCUAAUACCGCAUAAGCCCACGGUGCCGCAUGGCACAGAGGGAAAAGGAGCAAUCCGCUUUGAGAUGGCCUCGCGUCCGAUUAGCUAGUUGGUGAGGUAAUGGCCCACCAAGGCGACGAUCGGUAGCCGGACUGAGAGGUUGAACGGCCACAUUGGGACUGAGACACGGCCCAGACUCCUACGGGAGGCAGCAGUGGGGAAUAUUGCACAAUGGGGGAAACCCUGAUGCAGCGACGCCGCGUGGAGGAAGAAGGUCUUCGGAUUGUAAACUCCUGUUGUUGGGGAAGAUAAUGACGGUACCCAACAAGGAAGUGACGGCUAACUACGUA